AUACUUACCUGGUUGGAGCCUCUCCUGAUCAAGAAGGGGGGAGGCUCUGGGAAGGAUGUCUGCAUUGCACAGCGCGGAUGUCCAACCCAGUGAAUGUCCUUCGGGACAUCUCAACAGCUUAAUUUUUAUAUACGGGUCAUGUUUCGUUCGCGAGGCAUGGCCCU
rfam:Lobosporangium transversale strain NRRL 3116 BCR41scaffold_62, whole genome shotgun sequence.